GGAGGGCCCAAGCGUUGUUCGGAAUUACUGGGCGUAAAGCGCGUGUAGCCGCCCAGGUAAGUCGGAUGUGAAAGCCCGGGGCCCACCCCCGGACCUCCCCCCGAUACUCCCUGGCUGGAGUCCCGGAGAGGAUGGCGGAAUUUCCGGUGUAGAGGUGAAAUGCGUAGAGAUCGGGAGGAAGCCCGGUGGCGAAGGCGGCGCUCUGGAACGUUUCUGCCGCUGAGGCUCGAAAGCGUGGGGACCAACCAGGAUUAGAUCCCCUGGUAGUCCCCCCCCUAACCGAUGGAUACUAAGUGUCGGCGGUUUCCCCCCGCUCCCCCAGCUACCCCAGUAAGUAUCCCCCCUGGGGAGUCCGCCCCCAAGGUUA
rnacentral:rRNA from 1 species